rnacentral:rRNA from 1 species
AUUGAACGCUGGCGGCAGGCCUAACACAUGCAAGUCGAACGAGCGGCGGACGGGUGAGUACUGUAUGGGGACUGCCCGAUAGAGGGGGAUAACUCCUGGAAACGGUAGCUAAUACAGCAUACUAUCGGAUAAACCAUAUGGGAUUCGCUAGUAGGUGAGGUAAUGGCUCACCUAGGCGACGAUCCCUAGCUGGUCUGAGAGGAUGAUCAGCAACACGGGGACUGAGAUACGGCCCAGACUCCUACGGAGGCAGCAGUGGGGAAUAUUGCACAAUGGGGGCAAGCCUGAUGCAGCCAUGCCGCGUGAAUGAAGAAGGCCUGAGGGUUGUAAAGUGCUUUCAGUCGGGAGGCGUUACCGACAGAAGAAGCAACGGCUAACUCCGUGCCAGCAGCCGCGGUAAUAC